AUUGAACGCUGGCGGCAUGCCUUACACAUGCAAGUCGAACGGCAGCACGGGAGCUUGCUCCUGGUGGCGAGUGGCGAACGGGUGAGUAAAGCAUCGGAACGUGCCCUGAAGUGGGGGAUAACGUAGCGAAAGUUACGCUAAUACCGCAUAUUCUGUGAGCAGGAAAGCAGGGGAUCUUCGGACCUUGUGCUUUAGGAGCGGCCGAUGUCGGAUUAGCUAGUUGGUGAGGUAAAGGCUCACCAAGGCGACGAUCCGUAGCGGGUCUGAGAGGAUGAUCCGCCACACUGGGACUGAGACACGGCCCAGACUCCUACGGGAGGCAGCAGUGGGGAAUUUUGGACAAUGGGCGCAAGCCUGAUCCAGCCAUGCCGCGUGAGUGAAGAAGGCCUCGG
rnacentral:rRNA from 1 species